ANAGNUGCAAUUGCNUCACUNCCAGAUGGACCUNCGUUGUAUUAGCUAGUUGGUGGGGUAACGGCUCACCAAGGGGACGAUACAUAGCCGACCUGAGAGGGUGAUCGGCCACACUGGGNCUGAGACACGGCCCAGACUCCUACGGGAGGCAGCAGUAGGGAAUCUUCGGCAAUGGACGGAAGUCUGACCGAGCAACGCCGCGUGAGUGAAGAAGGUUUUCGGAUCGUAAAGCUCUGUUGUAAGAGAAGAACGAGUGUGAGAGUGGAAAGUUCACACUGUGACGGUAUCUUACCAGAAAGGGACGGCUAACUACGUGCCAGCAGCCGCGGUAAUACGUAGGUCCCGAGCGUUGUCCGGAUUUAUUGGGCGUAAAGCGAGCGCAGGCGGUUAGAUAAGUCUGAAGUUAAAGGCUGUGGCUUAACCAUAGUACGCUUUGGAAACUGUUUAACUUGAGUGCAAGAGGGGAGAGUGGAAUUCCAUGUGUAGCGGUGAAAUGCGUAGAUAUAUGGAGGAACACCGGUGGCGAAAGCGGCUCUCUGGCUUGUAACUGACGCUGAGGCUCGAAAGCGUGGGGAGCAAACAGG
rnacentral:rRNA from 1 species